UGGAAUGCAUAGGAAUCUACCUAGUAGUAUGGGAUAGCCCUAGAAAUGGUGGGUAAUACUGUAUAAUCCCUGCGGGGGAAAGAUUUAUCGCUAUUAGAUGAGCCUAUGUUAGAUUAGCUAGUUGGUAGGGUAAAGGCCUACCAAGGCGAUGAUCUAUAGCUGGUCUGAGAGGAUGAUCAGCCACACUGGAACUGAGAUACGGUCCAGACUCCUACGGGAGGCAGCAGUGGGGAAUAUUGGACAAUGGGCGCAAGCCUGAUCCAGCUAUGCCGCGUGAGUGAGGAAGGCCUUAGGGUUGUAAAACUCUUUCAGUAGGGAAGAUAAUGACGGUACCUACAGAAGAAGUCCCGGCAAACUCCGUGCCAGCAGCCGCGGUAAUACGGAGGGGGCAAGCGUUGUUCGGAAUUAUUGGGCGUAAAGGGCAUGUAGGCGGUUCGGUAAGUUAAAGGUGAAAUGCCAGGGCUUAACCCUGGAGCUGCUUUUAAAACUGCCA
rnacentral:rRNA from 1 species